GAAAAAAUUGGAGUUACGCUUUCUUUAUUGUUUGAAGUGUAUUUGGAAUCAAGAUUCCCGAGUACAACCGCUUCUUCAAUGUCUUCAGACUCUGACAGUAAGUCAUUGCGUUAAUUUGAUCAACGUAGCACCGUCAUCAUCUUUCCUCAGUCUAACAACUCUUGAAGUGGAUUCAUGUGGAAGGUUGAAAAACUUGAUAAUGGCAUCCACAGCCAAAACUAUGGUUGAACUCUCCAAAAUGAUCAUACAAGGUUGCAAAAUGAUGACAGAAAUAGUAGCAAGUGAUGGAGAUCAUAACGAGGAUGAAAUUAUUUUCUGCAAAUUGAAAUAUUUGGAACUUAGUGGUUUAAGUAGUCUCACCAGCUUUUGCACAGGGAAUCACAACUUCAAUUUCCCAUCUUUAGAAAAGGUGAUUGUCAUAGAAUGCCCCAAGAUGAAGAUUUUUGCUCAAGGAGUCUUAAGCACACCAAAGCUAAGGCAAAUACAAAUAGUUGAUGAAGUUGACGAUGAAUCUGCACUUGGAUGGCAUUGGAAAGGCAGCCUAAAUAAGACCAUACAAGAUUUAUUCAUUGAAAUGGAUGAUGAAGAAAAAUGAAGCCAUUUUUCAUUUUGACAAAGCCGGAACAAGGAGGAAGAUUUUCAAUGAAGUAAGAGGUAUUUCAAUCCACUCAAUUCGCUUAAAGCAUAGUGGUUUUCCUUUGAGAUUUGAAUAGUGGGAGGAUCUCUCACUCCUGAUCUCAGCACAUUCUCUAAAUAGACUUUGUUUUUGAGUUUCUGCAACUUGAUUUCUUACUAGUGUUAAAUUCCUUAACUGGCAAAUGUUAAUUGAAGAUUACGUAUUUCAAACUGUUGAGAGAAAUUGUAGCAGAUGAAGGAGAUGGAGAAGCAGAAGAGAUUGAAUUCAACAAAUUGAAAACUUUGCAACUCGUUCAUUUAAAAAACAUCACAAUUGUAUAUGGAAAAGGUAUGUAUCAAUAAAAUUUUUCUCACGAUGCCAAUUUGAGUAAUUUUAUUUCUUCUUUUAACUAAUGCAACAUUACGGGAUUUUC
rnacentral:misc_RNA from 1 species